rnacentral:snRNA from 1 species
AAUCCCACUUUUGUGGACUAU